UGGCGGACGGGUGAGUAACGCGUGGGUAACCUGCCUCAUACAGGGGGAUAACAGUUAGAAAAUGGCUGCUAAUACCGCAUAAGACCACAGCACCGCAUGGUGCAGGGGUAAAAACUCCGGUGGUAUGAGAUGGACCCGCGUCUGAUUAGGUAGUUGGUGGGGUAACGGCCUACCAAGCCGACGAUCAGUAGCCGACCUGAGAGGGUGACCGGCCACAUUGGGACUGAGACACGGCCCAG
rnacentral:rRNA from 1 species